UGCAUGAGCUUCAUAGUCAAGCUUAUCGCCACUACUAACACUCAAGCAUAUCAUCUCACUGGAGCUAGGGUCCCAAUCCAUUCUCUAUGCUCUUAAGAACCUAUAGGAACCAGGAUGAAAAGAACCAAGCCUUUUGUCUCCUACUGGUGGAAAGGUGAGCGUUUUGCGCCCCUAACUAAAGAUUUGAGCGAGAAGUUGAUUCGAUUCUUUGCUAGUCGGUUGACCCGAUCAUUGAUGUAGAAAGAACAACCACUGAUUUCUAGAUCGAUAGCUUUCUAUCAUUCGUUUCAAGGUCGUCUAUUGGAUCGGCCUCUGAUUUGAGAAUGAUAGGAGAGAAGAUUCUUUGCUAAGUAGCGAGAUUUUGGUUGAAUCCGGGUUGUUCUAUCAUGACUAUCCGAUCAAAUUCCAGUUAUUGCCUGAUCCGGAAUAGGAUCGAGGAGAAUGACAGCCAGCUCUUCUUUAGCUCCCCGUCUCAUUUACAGCAGGCCCGCGGUUGCACUCUUCCUCUAUAGAACUGGUCUAUUGCACCCCUACCAUUCUAAACUAGUGAAGCAGAACCUUUUGUUCCCCCUCUCAAUGAAUUGACGCUUCUCUCCAAACCAAAUUCAAGUUCCAUUCCCGGGACAAAACUCACGGCACCAAUGGGUCGAAGGUUGGAUAGGAAUAAUAAGUAGAGGUUUGAA
rnacentral:lncRNA from 1 species